rnacentral:tRNA from 1 species
ACCGAAAUAGCUCAGCUGGAAGAGCGUAAGGCUGAAGAUCGAAAAGUCCCUGGUUCGAUCCCGGGCUCCGGUA